GAUGAACGCUAGCGGCAGGCCUAACACAUGCAAGUCGAGGGGUAGAACACUUCGGUGUUUGAGACCGGCGCACGGGUGCGUAACGCGUAUGCAAUCUACCUUGUACAGGGGAAUAGCCCAGAGAAAUUUGGAUUAAUGCCCCAUAGUAUAUAACCUUCGCAUGUUGGUUAUAUUAAAGUUCCAACGUUACAAGAUGAGCAUGCGUCCCAUUAGUUAGUUGGUAAGGUAACGGCUUACCAAGACGAUGAUGGGUAGGGGUCCUGAGAGGGAGAUCCCCCACACGGGUACGGAGACACGGACCAGACUCCGACGGGAGGCAGCCGUGAGGAAGAUUGGGAAAUGGGCGCAAGCCUGAACCAGCCAUGACGCGUGCAGGAAGACGGUCCUAUGGAUGGUAAACUGCUUUUAUACAGGAAGAAACAACUCUACGUGUAGAGUCUUGACGGUACUGUAGGAAUAAGGAUCGGCUAACUCCGUGCCAGCAGCCGCAGUAAGAC
rnacentral:rRNA from 1 species